AAAGAAAUGUGGAGAUGUGGCACUGAGGUCCAUGGUUUAGUGGUAUGGUGGGGACAUGCUGGUGGUUGGAAUACAUGAACUUUGUGGUUUUUUCCUACCUUAAUGAUUCUUUGAUUCUAUAAUUCUAUGAAAAAGAAAAAGCAACAAGGAAUGUAUCAGUCUGACUUCAUUUCUUGGAAGAAUUUCACGAACAGUCAAACAAGCCGAGAGCCUUUGAAAAAGCUGAAGAAGUGAUAAAUACCAGAGGUGACAUGGACAGUGGGAUUGAGAGCAUCCUCAACAAGUUUGCAGAUGACACCAAGCUGAGUGAUGCAGUUGACAUGCUAGAGGAAAGGGAUGCCAUCCAGAGGGACCUUGAAACGUUUGAGAGGUGGGCCCAUGCCAAGCUCAUGAAGUUCAACAAGGCCAAGUGCAAUGUCAUGUCCCUGGAAGAGUUAUUCCAAGUUCUUCAGACCUACUCACUGUCAAGCUAACUUCCUAGAAAGCAGCACAGUAUUUCCUUCAAGACUGGUUAUUCAAUGUGGUCCAUGAAAAGUAACACAGCUCCAUCACCCCAAGAGACUCUUGGAGAAAUUUAUUAUGCAGUACAGCUUGAUUCCAUUGUGUUCUGAAGACCAGCCUUCCUGCGGAGAAAUGUGGACCUUAGGCUGUAUUUUUAGAUCUGAUUUCUUGUAUGUGAGAAGAGGACCUGUCCAAGUUUCUGAUCAUCAAACCGUUUCUGACCAGAUCUGUUUCUGAUCAUUCUCCACACCUGGUCGCGAGCCCCACCUCUGGUUCACCAGCCAAACAGCAGAUUAAUAGAUUUCUUCCAGGCUCAUCACCCCUCUGGGGACUGUCUGUCUCCCAGCUGGAGGCUUGCUCCCUCGUUUAAGCACAUCUGGAAGAGUCAGUUUCCAAAUAAGGUCUGAGUGGCAGCCAAAACUUCAAAAGAUACAGGUAUUUGGCCAGAUUCUUGCUUGUAUUCACAUCCCUUUAUUCUGGUUUCAUUUCACUUUAUAGUGUUGGGUGAUGUAAAUGAGAAUCAGGGCCUUGGCCAUCAUAAAUCUACUGCAUACAUCAAAACACUGAGAAUUGUAACUUCGAGGCCU